rnacentral:snoRNA from 1 species
CUGGAGAUAAUGAUGGUUACAAGCACAUAUCUUAAUCCUUUAAUGUGGAAAUAUAUUUGACUGAAUCUCCCAU